CAAGACUGCCAAGAAUUUAGAACUGAGGCAGAUAGGAGAGACGGUGAAGAGUAAGUGAACAAGAGAACUCAAAUAAGAUGCCGAGACGGGCACUAUCUUGAUCACAGAUGUGGAGGAGCUAGUGCAAUAAAUAAGUUUUUAAUGUCUGGGUCACUUCUCUUUGGUCCACCAGCUUCUCUCUCCUGUUGUUUUAUGUACAGCAUACUAAUAUGGGCUAAGACUAUGACCUCCAUCAUUGCUCAUUAUACCAAGAGUUAUAUUUGGUCAUGUUUUAUUUAUAAAACUUUCUUUUAAAAAACUGCUAUAAUUUGAGAGAGUUUUAAAGAUGCCUUUACCUUCACUUUAUAAAUAUGAGAAUAGGAAAAAAAAAGAGGCCUCUGAAUUUUGUGUUAUCCUAGGAUGUACAGAGAAGACAAGCCAAUGAAGACCUGCCUUGUCACAUUCAAUAGAGCAACUGCAGAAGCAAUUUGUUACCAGCAGAUGGAUAGUUGAACACUGAAAAGGAUGAUAAACUGGAACAAAAUUAGAUAUUGAAAUCAAUUUCUUUUAGGCUUACCAUGAAACUUCACAUUUACACAAACAAUUGUAUUUGAAGAAGUCAGAAAAAAAAAUGCCAUACUAAGACGGGUGCCCAUGAAAACAGAACUUUACACAUGCUAUAGCCUUUAUAGCCACCAUUUACUUGGUAGGUCCAAAUAUUUAUAGUUCAUUGUUAUGACUGCCAAAACUGGCAACCACAAGGAUUGUUGUCUCAAUUAGGACAGUAAACAGAUUGUCUCUUUUUUUAAUGAAAAAAUCUAAAAUGUAAUACUUCACAGUUUAACAUGUUUAUUCAUCUAAACGAGCUAAAAAAUAAUGGUGCGACAUCUGUUCGAGAGGCAUUGGUACCUCAAAUUUUGGCUGCCUCCCCACCAAUUUGGUUGUUGUUUUAAAAAAAUGAAGAAUAGGAGGGGGUACUGUCAUCAAAAAAUCUUCUGGCAAGUGAAGUAUCUUAUUUUUCUUGAAAUAUGAUCUCAUGUCUGUUGCUAGGGAUAAAAAAAAAUUUGUUUAACAAGGAGGCACAGUGCUGAAUAUGACAGCAGUUCAAUUGUUUUAAAUAUAUCUACUGACCCACUAUAGAUAUUUCCACAUUGGUAUAGUUCUUUAAGCAACUCUCCCAGUUCCCUCUAUAUUUACCUAUAUAGCUAAAACCUAUACAAAAUAGCAAAGUGUUUCUGUAUCCACUGGAUUCAUCUGCUACGAUAUUUUCUGUAGGUUAUACUGAUUUUAGAUAUGGUGUCAGUGGAACAAAAUCUAGCAAACAUCCUAACCAGACUGCACUGGAGCAAUUCUAAUAAAAGAAGGCAGUGCUGCUAAGGGAGAAGCGGUGUGAAUCUCCCCAGAGAAGCCUCAGGUAAGUGUAAAGAAGCCUAAUUGCUGGUAACAAGAAAAUAAAAGCUUAUCUUAGAUAGCCUCUGGCUCAACAACCUUAUUUAUAGAUGAAAUACAUUAACAUUUAAAAUCUGUUUAAUUUCUAGAAGUUUAUUUCUGAAGCUUAUCUAAAGUAUAACUUGUUCUACUGAAUUAUCAUGACUAUAUAAUUUCAGAAUCUGGAAAAAUAAAGCAUCUUCAUUUUCACAUAAAUAUAAACAUUAUAAUGAAAAUUUAGUUUUACUUUCAGUAAGAGUGAAGAUUUAGACUAAGUUAAAUUUCAAACAAUGAGUAUGAUUUUGAAUGAUAAUUAAGAUCAGAAUAACGUAUUUGACUUCCUGGAAAAGAGCAAUAUUUCUGUUUUACAAUAGAUCUAAUGCUAGUUGUCUUGAUCUUCAAGAAAACUAGGGUUAAAUGUAUAUGUGCCCCAAUACAAGCAAAGAUCAUAAAUGCUAAGUGCUGAGUUGAAAAAUAUUGUAAUUUUAAGUUUUAUUUAUUAAAUACAAAUAAUUUUUGACCAUAUAUCACAUGCAAAAACUGUGCCAGGCUCUGAGAAGACUAAAAGAGAUUAAUUUUAACAUGCAUUUAUUAAAUAUAUGCAGAUCACCACACUACUGAAAUUACAGAAAAAUAAGAAUAUAUUCUCAGGACUUUGUAAUCAUCAGUUGAAAUGGAAAUAUUUCUAUUUUAUGAAAAAUUGAAAAAGGUUAGAAAAUCUUCAAGUAUUUUGUCACCUUAAAACAACAAACCUCAUACUAGUACUAAAAUAGGCUUUUAGUACAUUUGUUUCAAAAGAAAUUCUAGAUGAGGUAAUAUUUUUACAUCUCCUCUCAGAUGAAUUUACAUUUUCUUUAUUUUGCAUGCAAGAUAAGAUGCAGUAACCAUUUUCACUUCAUUCACAACAUUUCCUAGGUUGUACAUUAAGUCCAGCUGCAUUAGUUGAAAUUAUUUUUUCCUGCAGAAACAGCAUGUUAACAGAUUCUAAUAUUCUGAAAAGUAAUUAAAUUUUUCUGUUUUUGUCUUCUGAAUUACUCUGAGCGAUGAAUUAUUGCAGGGGAAAAACCCACUCCUAAAAUCUGUCUGGUGCCAGUCUCAGACUUACACCAAAUACCCCUCACUAUUCAAAAGUGUAGUGCCCUGAAAACCGUAGGCAGGAUAACACCUCUCUGACCUCAAAGAUUCAAACUAGACUUCAACCCGGGAUUUCUCUAUAAAAAACUGCUGCUUUCUAACUAAGGUGAGUUUGAAAAAUGUGGACUUCAUGAAAAUAGUGUAUUGUAAACAUACACUGUCUCACUUUACCUGCUAUUUAUUAAAAUCAGAAUUUAGCUCUUAGAACUUACCAUAAGUCAGUCAGUCAUACAAACAGACCAGCCAUAGACUCAGAGUAUUGGUAAAACUAUGUAAUGAAACUUGCCUAUAAUCAUACUAUGUUUAGCCUAAUAUUCAUUAUUAUCAAAAACAACAUUUUCUCCCAAAGAAUACCUCAAUGGUAGAACAGGAUAAUAAAUUAUUUUUUCAGGGUAAUGAAUUUUCAAACAUUUCUAAGAGUAUAAUCAUGUAUUUUAAAUACUAUAAAUUCUGUUAUAUCUCACUUGGAUAGGUAUAUAAUAAACAAGUAUUACAUAUCCUUGCAUUUAAAUUACCGCUGAAAUUAGAAAUAAUCUUUAUUUAAUAUGACUGCAUUUAGCACCAGAUGGGAGGGAAAAUAACUAAAUGAAAAUUGUUCACGUAAAUGUGAUAGGAGUAAGGGAAAACAGUAUUUCUUGACAUGUGGCAUGUCACUCAGGAAAGUAAAAGACCCAUCAUAUCCAAAAUGCCAGCUUGGAUAUUCCCUUGCCACCCACUUCACAAACAGACAUACCACAUGGCAUUAAAUGCUGCAACCUUUCGUAAAAAUGCCACUUGGAUUGGUCCACUGUGGUGAGUAUAUAGGAACUCUUGGUCUGUCUCUUAAGUUUGUGAUUUCAAGGGGAAGAAUCCAGUAAAUAGCAUUGGCUAAAUUCUGCCCUCAGCUGUUUGACAAAAAGGAUCUAUGAGGAUACUGGAUCUUUUGGCUAUUUGCAUCUAAU
rnacentral:lncRNA from 1 species